ACGCCUAUAAGAUCCAGUUGCGGU
rnacentral:siRNA from 1 species